GUCCCAAAGUACUAACUUUAAUUUUAAAAGUCGCAGCUAUAAGCUCAAUAUUUGAAGUCAUUAUCUACCUCCAGUCUAAAUAUACUCUUUGCAUAAAUCCACUACAUAUUACAAGAUAUUGAAUCAAUGCUUGUUUGGUUUUUUCACAUCCAUCAAGCUCUCAAUUACAUCAAUUGUCAACUUCAAUGCACAUGAACGUUAUGAUGGCAUAUAUGUUGAAGUAUCAAUCUGCUCAGGGAGCUCCUU
rnacentral:misc_RNA from 1 species